rnacentral:rRNA from 1 species
UACGUAGGGGUCGAGCGUUGUCCGGAGUUACUGGGCGUAAAGCGCAUGCAGGCGGCUCAUUACGCAUGGCGUGAAAGCCCCCGGCUCAACCGGGGAGGGUCGUCGUGAACGGGUGAGCUUGAGGGUAUCAGGGGCUGGUAGAAUUCCCGGUGUAGUGGUGAAAUGCGUAGAUAUCGGGAGGAAUACCUGUGGCGAAGGCGGCCAGCUGGGAUACACCUGACGCUGAGAUGCGAAGGCGUGGGGAGCGAACGGG